UUCACAUAGAUUUUUUUUCCCUCACAUCUGAAAUGUAUUUUUCUUCCUUUCCUCAGAUAAACACAAGAUACUGUUCAUUCAAGGCAGCUUCGGGGAAUUUGGUGAAGAUGCAACACUCACGGAUUCGCCUCUGUCGGCACAACAACAGGACGCUGAGCGCCAUGGCGACGGUCAACAGGACGACACACACGGCACCAGUGAUGGAGGCCAGCAGCACACACUGACUGGACUUUCCUGCAGACACAUCGAGCAUACAGGCGCAGUAGAAACCUUAAAGAAUAUCUGGAUAUCUGGAUUUCAUCUCACAUGAAAAACUCUUGCACACAGGACACCUCCACUCCUGCAGACCAGCUCUCUGCAGGAACAUGAACCUGUUGGCUGAUGACGACCGCCUGGCUGACGGGGAGGAUGGUGGGACUGAGCUGCUGGAUGCCAUCAGCCCCAACCACCUCCCAGUCCACCGUGACCUGAUCAGGGUCCUUCACUCCAGACACCAGACAGGUCAACGGGAUGGGGAGGAACGAGUUGACGUCUGAGGGGACCAGGAGCUCGACUGCAGGACUUUGGAGCUGCGACUCUGAUGAGAAAGUCCACAGUUUUUUGAUUUCAACUUAAACCAGACUCUAAAGUUGUUAGUCUAUUAAGUUACAGAUUACGCUCUUGCAGAGAGGAACAGAAGUUCACCUUUGGAGGAUGGAGGAGCUGUUGGACGCAAAAGACUUUUCAACAAGCAGGAGUCCGUUGAUGUAGACGCAGUAAUGCCUGCCGACGUCCUGCAGGGUGGCCUUGGAGAUCUCCAGCCGACACACCUUCCCUCUAUCAGCUCCAGACACAACGCUUGAGACUCUGAGGUUGCUCACCUGUCCGACGUGCAGCCACGCCACCUCAGAGCACCGCCCACCUGUCUCAGUGACGUCACACUGGAGGUUCACUUUUGAUCCAGCCGGCACUGAUAGAAAAGGUGGAGUCUGAACCAGCAGAGCUCCAGCUGUGACUGCAGGCCCAGAUGGAGGAAGACUGGUUUUAUUACUGGGUCAGUACUGUUACCCCUCCGAUUUUGUUCAGAAUUUACAUAUUUGUUAUUUUGGACUCAGCCAAAUUAUGUACAAUAUUUUUGGCAGAAUUUUGAGAAUUUCAUAUGUUGUCAGACCUGGGAGGUUUCUGUAUUUUCACCUUCAGAAAAUACCCAGAAAGCCAUUUUAUAGGCUUAGAAGUCCCACAGUAAAGAAAUUCAGUGACAACAUGGACAAAAUAGUUUCCAGCAAACCCAAAUGAUGAAAUAGCUCCAUUUCAGGUCAGAUUUUUGAGUACUGGCCCUUCAAUUUGGAAAAAAAAGUGCAAAAUUCUAGCGUAAGACUUUGAGCAAAGAAAUUUCAGUUUGAGUUAUAUCUCAUUUUGACUUUUGUUUUACAUUCAGUUUUCCAUCACUAUUCAGCUAGGUUAAGGAACCAAAACUACCAAAAGCAUGCCACUAAGCUUAGCCACCAAAACUACACAUUUAUUCUUAGGUGCAACAAUUACUAAGUUAUAGGCACCAAAACUACUUGAUUAGGUUUAGGUGCAAAAAAUUACAUCAUUAAGUUUGAGCACCAAUAACUUGAUUAAAAAUAGCUCCAGUGGAGGCAACAUUUUAAAUUAUUGGCCCUUGAAAAUGUUCCACGAAGGUUGUAUUCUGGCCUCAGAAAGUUCCCUUAACUGUAUAUAUACUGUAUAUGGAUGGAACCAUAUUUCCUACUAAACAUACAGUCUUUGGUCAACAUUUCACCAACUUUUAAGGCCCCUAUAUUCAGUAGAAUUUGAUGUGUUGCUUUUAUGACAAGUCAAGGUUCCAGCUUUUUGCUAUGUUGGCUUAAAACCUGUCUAAGAUGACUUUAAACUUUUCAAAACUUACAGAAUAUUUUUAAGAAAAAUGACUCAAAAUUAUGAAUUAAAAAAAGAUCCAAAGUAACACAAAUUGUAAAAAAUGACUCAAGAUACUAGUCUUUGGUCGACCUUUCAGCAACUUUUGAGGCCUCUAACAUCAGUAGAAUUUCAUGUGUGGCAAGUACAGCAGGACAGGUUUCCAGUUUUUUGCUACUGUGACAAAAUGAUGAUAUGGACUCAUUAAUUGAAGACAAAUAUUAAUGUGCGUAAGGGUCUAUAUAUCUUCAUUGUAUGUGCAAAGUUACAAGCUGCCAAUGGCUGUCUUCAUGAUUAAAUUUAACAGCACAGGAAGCUUAGUUUACCUUAAAUGUUCCAAUACUUAUAAAUAACCUAUAUGUGACAUAUUUAUGACAGCCAAGUCUGUCUUGUAAAUAAGUCAUGGAAAAUGAGAACCAUGUGAGCUUUGUUUUUGUCUUAAUCAGCAAAAAAGCGUUGUAGCCUGAUAUGUUUGAGCUGAUUUGCUUUUUUGACAUUUCACUUCUUGCUGAAUAUAUAUCAUGCAGCCCAAAUCCACACAAUACUGACCAGUAUAUGCACCAACUCAAGAAGACAAACAAAAUAUACAUUUAUGAUCUAGUAAUCAUGUAUACAAGCCAAACUACAUACACAGAUAUUACAUAAUUGCUCCACUAUAUCAAAUAUACCCCACUGGACUGAUCAAGUCUUUUGUCCAGAAGUACAAGAAGUUCCAGUUGGAAAAAUAUGUAUAAUUAAUAGACAUAGCUUAUAUUUUAUGAUGCGAAAAUCUGAGCUUUUUGAACAUCUUACCACAGAGCGCGCUCACACAGAUCAGAAGCAGUAGAUUCAUGUUGCUCAGCAGACGAUCAGUUGACAGGAUGACGCUGUGAUGGUGAUUUCAAUUUAAAGGUCACCGCAGCAGUUCCCCCGCCUCCAGACACACAGCGACAGGACGUGUUAUCACUGUACACCAGCUUCAAGUCUUCAAAGAGGACCACAAAAAUAUACAACUGCAGCAAUAUUAGACCUUUGAUUGUUCUGUUUUGACUCCAGUAGCAGCUUUUUAGCUCAGAAAAGAUGGUGGCCUGCUUUUAGACAGAAAAAAUCCACAAAGACUUGAGACAUAACAAUUUAACCCACACUGCCAUCUUUCUCUAAACCACAGACAUGAACUUCAGCCUCUUGUGUCACAGUCUUGAACUUCACGUACCCUCCAUCCACCCCGACCUCCGCCUCCUCCCUCCUGGAUGAAUUCUUUAGUGUAGAAUUUCAUUUCUUCCAUUAAUUCAAAAAUAAAUAAAUUUUAAAAAUGCCUCUAAAAGUAAUCCAGCCAGAAAUUAGGCUGCACUUUAAAAAAAAAAGCCCAUAUUCUGCAUAUUUACAGAUUCAUGCUUUUAUUUCUAGGGUUUAUUACAACAUGUUUACAUGCUUUAAUGUGCAAAAACACCUUAUUUCUCUCAUACUACGUUGUGCUGCAAAUAUUACUGUCUUAAAUGCUUGAUUAGAUAUUUAGUAGACAAAAUUCUGUGUUUCUGAAAGCCCAAGAUCACAGCUAGCUUUGUCCAAAGACCUUUAGUUUACUGUCAUAAAAGAGGACAAUAAACAGAAAAUAUUUACAUUGAAAAAAUAAAAAGAGACCAUUUAGAAGCUAAAAGCUAUUAAAAUAUGCAGAUGUUUCCUUCUGCCAUUCUUCAAGCCCCCAUCUUUUUAAAGCGAGAAUUUAUGCUAUGUACCACUUAACCAACCACAAUCCAAGCUAGUAUUAGCAUUAGCCUCAACACUAGGAAAAUCCUUAGUGUUAGCAUGUUGUGCAGCUAAUGUUAGCACUAGCUGCACAACAAUAGGAAAUUUCAUACUUUUAACAUGUUGUGCAGCUAAUAUAGCUAGCAUUAGUAUUAGCCACAUCAAAAGAAAAAAAUGCUCAGGUUUAUCAUGUUUUUGGCUAAUGUGGCUAAUAUUAGCUUUGGUGGUAUUCCCACAGGUCAGAGCUCUGUAAAAAGUGUAACACUGAAGGACAUCCAGAGUUGGUGGAAACUUUAAUUUAAACCAGUAAACAAGGACUAGGUGGGUGACCGUGUUUUCAUGUCAUCCGUUGUGCUUCAGUUCACCCUAAACUCAGCUGCUGUUUACAUUUGUUAGCUUCUCUUCUGCUCUCUGUGCUCACAUAAUCUGCAUUUUAAUACUCUGAAUUGACAAUACAGCUGUUCUCAUUUACAGAUUUUUGUAUUUCUGUUGUUAGACAGCAGAACGAGGAUGAAAUAGUAUUAGAUGUGUUGUACAUUAUUAUAGUCAUUGAUGGGAUUGUAAUGAUUAUUGCAGGAACAAUAGAGGUGUACUACUUGUCAUCACAGCUUUAAAUAUCCUUAAAGAGGUUUCAUUAGUUCUUUAAAAGAUGCUGAUGGUGAAUGAGUCAGGGAAUCAGGAGGACUCUAUGGUUUCUUUAUGGUCACUUUAGGUUGUUUAGGUGGUCACAAAAACACCCUGAAACAGUUCAGAAGCAGAAGUUUUCUUUUCCAACCAAAGGUUUAGGUUUUUGGUAAAGCAGACUAGUAGCGAUAAGCCGGUUCACUGUAUGCCUGGUAGGGGUUCUGGUCGUCAGGAUGGUAGGCUGGGUGGUUGGGACCUACAACGUUUGCGUUGUUGAUGUCUACGUAACCACCAUCAGGCUCUACGUAGGCAUAGUUCUCCUCUCCAUAGUCCACGUCAUCGUUAGGGGUGUAGUCAACCAGCAAACUGGAUCUUUUCAAAGCCGAUUUUUUACCAAAUGCGCGAUACAGGUGCACAACGACGGCGAACUGAAGAAUCUGGAGAAGACAGUCGCAGUUUAACCACAGAAUAAAUUAGUGUUGGACAGGAAGCAAUGAACACGGGGUUUAGAAAAUCUCAAGCUACAUGUUUGAUAAACUGAGUCAGAUUCCAACUUUAUUACCUGGAUCAAGAUGAGGCUGAAGUCUAUGACGAUGAUGGUCACUGCGUUCUCCUGCAGCCAAUCAGUGAGCUUCUGACUGCAACCCUGAAACGACAAACACAUCAUCCUGAUAGACAAAGAGCACACAGACAGCAUGGAGUCAAAUAAACAUUACAUUAACAUAGAGGACUUUAUGGCUCCUGCACGUAUAACAGACUCUCAGUAGAGCACAACACUGUGGGACAGUAGCGUCCUGGUCAAUCACUUGGUCAUUACGCUCUUAAGCGACCACAUUUCAUUGGUUCUACAAUCCCUGGUGCUACUUUCAUCAGGAGGAAAGCUCUAAUUCAACAGCCUUCCAGGUUUAUUUCAUUAUUCUUGCUGUGGGAGGAACAGAAUAGCUGUGAACAUGCCCACAGAUGUGAAUUUGUCCCACCUAAUAGAGACUGCUAGGUCUAACUUAUUUAAUGAACGUUUAGUUGGAGCCAGCUUGAAACUAGCCGACACUAGGUCGAACAAAUAAAACAACACCCAAAGCCACAUAACAGAAACAAAGAGACCCAAAUAACUGCAAUAGAAAAUGACCAGAAAGAGACACAAAUGGACCACAAAGGCACAAACAGAUGCUAUUUCUAUGCAGAGAUAAAACCACACAAAAAAGUACUAGAUGCAAAAUGGCUGCAAUGAGACACAAAACAACCACAAAGAGACUUAAACCAAUAAGAAUGAGAAUCAAAAUGACCAUAGGAAGUUGCAGAGAGGACACACAAAAAAUUCCCGUAUAGAGAUUAGAACUGUCUUUAAGAGAUGCAAAAUGCACACAAACUGAAUGCAAUCACAAUGCAAACAAAGACAACCACAAAGACAUGCAGAACUACUCAAAACAAACAGCAAGAGCUACAAAAUGCUGAAAAACAGUCACAAAAAACUACAAAGACGCACAAAAAAAAAAAAACUAGAAAGAGAUGCAAAAGACAGAAGCGGUCAGCUCCAAACUAACAGACACCAUGUCAAAGAAGUUGUUGGUGCAGCUGCAUUUUGUUCAAACUGACUGACAAACAAUAGCAGAUCAUCUAAAAACUGCAGAUAAUUUAUCUGUGUUGGAUUCCUUAGUAGUUGCUCUCCUGAAUCACCUGUUGAUAUAGUUCUAUUUUCAGAUGUAUUUUUUCCCCUGCACCCAAUAGAUUAGCUGAAUACUAGGUACGAUUUCAGUUGACCAAGAUUGUCUUUUGUUGAUUACAGGCCUGAUAAGCUGAGAAUUGUCAUUUUGCAUCAUGGCGGUCAUUUAGACUUUAGUAAAAUGCAGAAAGUGGAGCAGACGUCAUGAAUUUUUCAUUCCAGUGUGGAAUUUAAAGACAACACAAAGUGAAUUUAUGCAUAAAACUGUUGCACAAUUAUAUAAAACAACAAAAAAUCAGGACAAAUGGACACAAAACAACUACACUGAAACAAAAAUGACCACAAAGAGAUGCAAAACAGCCAUGAAGUGACCAAAACUGAUUACAAAAACACACAAAUGAAGCUGCAAAGAAACACAGAAUGACUAUAAAAACACAAAACAUCCACAAAAUGACACAAAACAACCACAAAGAGAAACAAAAUAAUUGCAAAAACAUACAAAUCAAACUGCGCACAAAAUAAUUACAGAGACACAAAAUGACCAUAAAGAACAUUUUGUUCUUUGUGGUCUGUUGGGAGGAAAUAGAGUCAGAGCUUCAUGGUUGGACUGCUGCAAAGUAACGAAGUAGAAGACAAAGAAGAAGAAGAAGACGAAGUAGAAGAAGAAGACAAAGAAGAAGAAAAAGAAGACGAAGUAGAAGAAGAAGACAAAGAAGAAGAAAAAGAAGACAAAGAAGAAGACGAAGAAGAAGAAGACAAAGAAGACAAAGAAGAUGAAGAAGAUGAAGAAGAAGAAGACAAAGAAGACGAAGAUGAAGAAGAAGACAAAGAAGAAGACAAAGAAGAAGACGAAGAAGAAGAAGACAAAGAAGACAAAGAAGACGAAGAAGAAGAAGAUGAAGUCAAAGAAGACAAAGAAGAUGAAGAAGAAGACAAAGACGAAGAAGAAGAAGACAAAGAAGAAGAAGACGUAGAAGAUGAAGAAGACGAAGACGAAGAAGAAGAAGAAGAGAACUCCUGAAACCCAUAACACACUUUAAUUGGUAAUUACCUCACAUAUGUUGUUUUAUAUGUCAAACAUUUACUGAAGUACCUCACUGAAGGUGCCGUUUCCUCGUCCAAACAGCGGCUCGGUGAAGUUGAGGAGCUCGGAGCACCAGGGUGAGCUGAAGCCGGCGGGAUACGAGAUGAAACAGGAACAUGGAAGCACGUCUGGACUCGACAGGUUCAGACUCUGGAUGUAGGAGUUCUUCAGCCAAUCACUGGAGCCCCUCAUCCCACAGCAGUUCCCCUGCAAAUCAGUCACAGUCAUUCAGUGUGGUUAGUUGACACUCAGAUUUAAAAAGGAUCAUUGUGGGAAUAGAACCAGCAACCGUUCAACAACAGAGACUCACAUAGUGCUGCACGUUGUCCAGCAGUGUGUCGACAUGGUUGCUGCUGUUUCCGUACUCAAAGAUGACCUGAUCCACGGCUGCAGUCAGACUCCGUUCAAUCUGGAAACAACAAACAUUUGUAACAGCUGAUAAUCCAGCUGCAGAUUUACAGCAUCUUCAUAUACAUCUACAGUCUAAAAAAAAAGAAGGUACAAAUAAUAAGAAGAAAGUAACAACUGGAUCUUUAAAAUCACCAAAACCCCCAAGAAUAUCACUUUACUGGGACAUUUGAGAAGCCACUUCCCAUUUUAUUUGCUGUUAGUCAUCUAUGGAAUUCUGGUUCAGACCCAAUGUUAUUUUUAUUAUAUAUUUAAUUCAUUUAAAUAUUAAGGUUAAGACCCUACAAUAUGCAUUUAUUUAAAUUUUUAGAGUAAAGAUUCUACAACAUUAGUUAUUUUAUCAUUUACCAAAUUUAAAUAUUCAAAGCAAGACCUGACAAUAUUAUAUAAAACUUUACCUAUCCUAUUAGGAGGUAAAAUCUAGUGUAUAUGGGCCCAAACCCAAAUGUAAAAAGGGAUGAAUGUUGUAAAUAAGCCAUAACUGAUACCUUUUUAUCAAUUAGGUUGUUAUCCAAUUUUGAAAGAAAUAGAUUGGAUCUUAUUUGUUGAUGUUAUCGUAAAACUUGUAACAAAACAUGGCAAAAACAGGAUAGAGAUGUAGAAAAUAAAUUGAAUCAUAUAAUUAAGCACCCAGUGUGCAGAGGAUUUUAAAAAUACAUUUUCAAGUUGUGCUCACCUUCUCUCUGUUAAGGAUCAGCAGCAGUGUGACGAACAUCUGACCCAGGACCAGGACGAUGAGGAAGCCGAUGUACUGAAGAGGAAGAACAGAGUUCAGUCGCACCUGCAAUCAUUUCUUCUGAUAAGCUGCACAAGCUCUGGACUUCUCUUUGAAUGCUGUACUGUUCCUUUGGCAAAAAUCUGGAGUAAAGCAACGUUACCAGAGGAGAGGAUGUUCAGGAAGCUUCCACUGUCAAACAGGAUCCAGACUCCACAUCCGGCUACAAUCAGACCCAGAACCUGCAGACGUCAAAGUGUAAUCGUGAUGCUGCUCUCAGUCCUGUGGUUCAGCUGAAUGGCCAGCAGAAGGCGCUGUUUGACCUCAGCUAUUCAGGUAGAACUUUUCGUUUUUAUUCUGUGCUGCUGUUCUUUGAAAUUUUAUUCAUACUGUACUCUCUAAACCACAAAAACCGCCCGUGGAUUUUAAAAAGUGCUAAAUUGACAUUAUUUAUUGGCCCCAGAUUGUUGGAUUUUACACUUUCUUUUAAUGAUUAUUCACAUUGUCAUACUCCAAGGAGACAUUUCUCAGUUCUCUCUCAUUUAGGUGUAGGACUUUAUACUGAGGGGAAAAGGAUUUUUUUACUGACACAUAUUUCUUAAAAGCUGUUAGUUUUCAAUUUUUUGUUUUUCAUUUUGUAUAUAUAGAUACAAGUCUAUAGAUAAGGGUUGUCUAGCAUCAAAAGUUUAAAUUCUAGUUUUAUUUAUUACUAAUUUAAAAUAUUCUGAUAUAGCUUAGGAAACUCCUCUAAUGAUAAACUUCAUUUAUUUGAAUAAAUUUAAACCUUUUACCUUUUUGUCAAUCACAAAAAGAGUGCUUGUGCACUCAGAACUAAACAUCUGGUAAAAACUGCACAGAUUUUAGUCUCAAACAAACAGCUGAAAAUCUGACUUUGUUCCUGUGUGU